rnacentral:rRNA from 1 species
CAACUGGGCUUACCUUAGUAACGGCGAGUGAAGCGGUAAAAGCUCAAAUUUGAAAUCUGGUACUUUCAGUGCCCGAGUUGUAAUUUGUAGAAUUUGUCUUUGAUUAGGUCCUUGUCUAUGUUCCUUGGAACAGGACGUCAUAGAGGGUGAGAAUCCCGUUUGGCGAGGAUACCUUUUCUCUGUAAGACUUUUUCGAAGAGUCGAGUUGUUUGGGAAUGCAGCUCAAAGUGGGUGGUAAAUUCCAUCUAAAGCUAAAUAUUGGCGAGAGACCGAUAGCGAACAAGUACAGUGAUGGAAAGAUGAAAAGAACUUUGAAAAGAGAGUGAAAAAGUACGUGAAAUUGUUGAAAGGGAAGGGCAUUUGAUCAGACAUGGUGUUUUUUGCAUGCACUCGCCUCUCGUGGGCUUGGGCCUCUCAAAAAUUUCACUGGGCCAACAUCAAUUCUGGCAGCAGGAUAAAUCAUUAAGAAUGUAGCUACUUCGGUAGUGUUAUAGCUUUUUGGAAUACUGUUAGCCGGGAUUGAGGACUGCGCUUCGGCAAGGAUGUUGGC